GGGAGCGAUCAUACAAGCACUAAUGCACCAGAUCCCAUCAGAACUCUGAAGUUAAGUGUGCUUGGGCGAGAGUGGUACUAAAACGAGCUUUCUCGCCGGACCCC
rnacentral:rRNA from 1 species